CGCGUCGCCCCAGACCAUGCUCCCCUAAGGGGAUGUGUUUUGUCUGGGACGGAGACUGGUCUCCCGUGCCGAUGGUGCGGUUGGCCUAAAAAGGAGUCCCCUUUGGCGGACGCACGGCUAGUGGUGGUUGUCAAGGCCUUCGUAUCGAGCCGUGUUGAUGCAAGGGAAUCGCUCUCUAAAGACCCAACGUGUCGUC
rnacentral:misc_RNA from 1 species